UCGAGGAUCUUCGGCAAUGGGCGCAAGCCUGACCGAGCGACGCCGCGUGCGCGAUGAAGGCCUUCGGGUUGUAAAGCGCUGUCGAGGGGGAGGAAGCCGAAAGGUUGACCUAUCCCUGGAGGAAGCACGGGCUAAGUUCGUGCCAGCAGCCGCGGUAAGACGAACCGUGCAAACGUUGUUCGGAAUCACUGGGCUUAAAGGGCGCGUAGGCGGGGGACCAAGUCCGGGGUGAAAUCUUUCGGCUCAACCGGAAAACUGCCUUGGAUACUGGUCUUCUUGAGGGAGGUAGGGGCAGGUGGAACUUCCGGUGGAGCGGUGAAAUGCGUUGAUAUCGGAAGGAACGCCGGUGGCGAAAGCGACCUGCUGGAUCUCUUCUGACGCUGAGGCGCGAAAGCUAGGGGAGCGAACGGGAUUAGAUACCCCCGUAGUCC
rnacentral:rRNA from 1 species